UUCGUUAUCAAACAUGAAAAUGAUUGUUCGAGAUUAUUUUCAGAUCUGAUUCAUAAUUUGUCUUCUAUCCACCCAACCAAUUUGUUCAGAUGCUGAGAGAAGCAAGCAAUUUGUUAAAAUUCUUUUAAGUCUUUUUUAACAAGAUUGUGGGACAAUCAUCAUUGAUUAUUGGAUUAGAGUCUGAUUUUUUUUUGGUUUUUCCUUGAUGGGUUUCCUAAAGAAGCUAGGCAUUUUGGAGUGGGUGGAACAGUCUCUCGCGACAGAGAUAAACAAAUGUAUUACUCUUUUUAAUAAAAUUUUCUUUUUCACCGCAUGUGGAGACGCUACCGACGUCCUUAGCACACAUUAAAAUGAAUUGCUAUAAGCGGAAGUAGUUCAGCGUUGAUCUGUAUUAUGACUGCGAAUUGUUCUAAGCGG
rnacentral:lncRNA from 1 species